rnacentral:rRNA from 1 species
GACGAACGCUGGCGGCGUGCCUAAUACAUGCAAGUCGAGCGAGACUCUUCGGAGUCUAGCGGCGGACGGGUGAGUAACACGUGGGCAACCUGCCUGUAAGACUGGGAUAACACCGGGAAACCGGUGCUAAUACCGGAUAAUCCCUUUCCUCUCAUGGGGAAAAGCUGAAAGUCGGUUUCGGCUGACACUUACAGAUGGGCCCGCGGCGCAUUAGCUAGUUGGUGAGGUAACGGCUCACCAAGGCGACGAUGCGUAGCCGACCUGAGAGGGUGAUCGGCCACACUGGGACUGAGACACGGCCCAGACUCCUACGGGAGGCAGCAGUAGGGAAUCUUCCACAAUGGACGAAAGUCUGAUGGAGCAACGCCGCGUGAGCGAUGAAGGCCUUCGGGUCGUAAAGCUCUGUUGUUAGGGAAGAACAAGUACCGGAGUAACUGCCGGUACCUUGACGGUACCUAACCAGAAAGCCACGGCUAACUACGUGCCAGCCGCCGCGGUAAAAC